GCACCCUUGGUGUAUGGAAACACACUUCUUCGAAUUCGAUGUGGCCACAGGUCCAAAUGGUCAAGAUGAGUCCGGGGUUCGAAUCCCCGAGGGUGCG